CUGCCAAGACACCACUACACCACUGGUUUGAAAGCCUCAUGCUUCUAGAAGCUGAUGGUGUCUGACUUCCACUGAUGGAAGUCAGAAAUUAUUUUUAUGCAUCACUGAGUGGAAAGUGGAAGGACGGUUUGUUAGCAUAGCUAGCAUUUCAGUUGUUGGUGUCCCGUGCCCACUGGUACCUGCCAUGCUGCAGCCCUCACACCAGUGUUCAGAUAGGACAUGGUGCCAAAACAGAAACGUCUGAUUGGUCGUUUCUGUUUUGGACUUUGUCUGGUGAUUGAAACGUAGGUGAGUCAGAGACAGCAGCCGUUCUGAUCCAGUCUUUAUCUAGUUAGGAAGGUUUCUGUUCCUGUUGUAAUAGUCAUAGAGAAAGUUUGCUCUAUAUGGUGAAGGUGAGGAGCCUGACACACCUGCAGGGACGUUGUGGACAACAUUGAUUCAACAGCUGGAUGUGUGAUGCAAUUUGACAGAGAAACACACACUGUGCACCUGGUCAGAGGAUAAAACAACCUGGAACCAGCAGCACUGAUACAGUGUGUUAUAACUGUCAGCCGGGCUAUUUUUCACAGGAUGGUGUGAACUGCACAGCUUGGACAAUUUGCCCAGAAACUGAAGUGAUGGUCAAAGAAGGAAACCAGAUAAAUGAUGUCGUCUGCAGAAGUGCAUCAAGAAAUCACUACUCUUUAUUUUCACCAUUGUUAAUGGUUUUCUCACUAACACUUGCCUGGCUUGUGAGCAGAGUUGAUGGAGAAAUUCUUGUACCCUUGUCACUUUUGAUGAAGAAUAAAGAUGAAGAAACUCCACAGGCUCCAGUUGAUGCUCUCAGAUGACCUCAGAUUUGAUUACUGACUAUUAAAAUUUACUUAAUACCUGCAACUGACGUUACGACUAUUAUAAUGAUGGAAUAUUACUGUUACUUCCAUUUAGGCUACUGUUGUUUUUAUUAAAACGUCAUUACAUUGUUCCAGAUAUUAUCAUUUUAUUGUGAGGCUUUUUUUUUUAUUUUUUUUAAACUUUUUCUAGUAUUAUGAUUGGUUGCUCCUGAAUUCAUCUUUACAGCCUGACAUCAGGUUUGUCUUCUUGCCUCUAGAAAGCAUUUUGUGCAUCUUGCUUGAAAUUAUUAAAUUUUUUCUUAUAUCUG